ACAUUGGUUUAGAUUUAUGGCAGGCCUGUCCCCUGGGCCUCUUAUAGGGUCCCAUGCCAGAGCAAACUGGCCCUGAACCAUUGCCUGGCCCUGCCCAUAGGCUGCAUACACUAGAGUGCUUUGACAGAG